rnacentral:lncRNA from 1 species
UGAACGGAUCAUAGAAAGUAUUACAAUGGAAAAUAAACAUUAGAUAUUAUUCAUGUUUUCCAUUGAUAAAUAAGUAAACUUAGCAAGCAGUUUUACACCUGCAGCUAAGUUCUUUAGGCAUACACACCUGUGUUGGAAAACUUUUUUUUUAUCCUCCACAGCAAAAGCUUCUACACACGCUUUGGGAUUGUUUUUGUCACCAAUAUUGGAACACCUAAAAAGUCGAUCAGAAAAUAUUCAUGCUACAUCACACACUUUCGCCUUUCGAGCCUUUAUCUCUGAACCACACGAUAUUACAAUAAACAAUUAGAAACACAAUAACUAAAUUAACCAUGCAACCUCUUUCCUUAUAUAUUUUCUUAAUUGCAUUAGUAUUAUUCCCAAAUCAAAUUCAAAGCUUUAAAAUUCGUAACUAACCAAUCAAUUCUAAGUAUAAGCCGAUAUAUUACCUUGAACCCGAGUCAAAACAAGUAACAUGAUAGCAUAACCAAAACAUGAACAGUGUAGCAGAUCUCAUCUCUCUCUUUUUUUUUGUAAGCAAAAAAUUAUAUUUUGUUUUAAUCUCGUAACUACAGAUUAUUACUUA